rnacentral:rRNA from 1 species
GUAGGUGGCAAGCGUUGUCCGGAAUUAUUGGGCGUAAAGCGCGCGCAGGCGGUUCUUUAAGUCUGAUGUGAAAGCCCACGGCUCAACCGUGGAGGGUCAUUGGAAACUGGAGAACUUGAGUACAGAAGAGGAAAGCGGAAUUCCACGUGUAUCGGUGAAAUGCGUAGAGAUGUGGAGGAACACCAGUGGCGAAGGCGGCUUUCUGGUCUGUAACUGACGCUGAGGCGCGAAAGCGUGGGGAGCAAACAGGAUUAGAUACCCUGGUAGUCCACGCCGUAAACGAUGAGUGCUAAGUGUUAGGGGGUUUUCCGCCCCCCUUAGUGCUGCAGCUAACGCAUUAAGCACUCCGCCUGGGAGUACGGCCGCAAGGCUG